CAUCUUUCUAGCCUAUGUUGCCUGCAUAUAGUGUUGGGGAUGAACCUAGGGCACUAGGCAAGCUCUCUGCCACUGAGCUGCACCCCAGCCCCCACAUGCUUUUCUGUGUAGAAGUUCUUAGCAGCAGAAUUGCUCUGUUACAGAGUAUGUAUAGCUGCAACGAUAAAGCCCAGUGGUUGGCCUCACUUCAAGGAGCUCUGAAGACCAUGGCCUGGAAGUUAAAGCACCCUCAGAGGGAUAUAUGAGACACCUGUUGUCUGCCAGUGACUACCUUGGACCUCACCAGUGAGAAUCUUAAACACCAAGAACUAUGCCCAAGGGGAAGGAAAGCCACUGACAGCCUUCAGCUCACCCUACUGGAAAAGCUGUGGGAGACCAUGACCCUGGAGCUGACCCCUGAAGAUAGGUAGUUGAUAUAUUCUAGGUAGAGGUGGGAUGUGUGGGGAAACUGAGAGUCUAGGGCCUGGUUUGGCUGGACUUUCAAGGGAACAGAGAGGAGUUCUAGGAGCAAAGCAUGAGAAACUGGAUCCAGGUCCUGGUGGGAGUUGGACCAAGAGGCAUCAAGCCACAACAACUGUAGGUGCUGAUGUAUUGAGAGUUGGACAGAAACAGGACUUGCCAAGCUUUGUAGGAAGAAAAUUGAGAAGAGCCUGGGCAGAAGGCAUUGGUGGUAGAACUGAGGAAAACGGAGAUCAUUUUGGACCUGCUGGGUGUUUGAAUCUGGUAGGAAAUCUGCCUCUGAUACAGGUAGAAAUGGGAAACUGGAUGUGUGGAUUCAGGUAGAAGACUACCCAACAUGGCCACUCACACCUGUAAUUUCAGCACUGGAGAGGAUGGAGCAGUAUUUUCAUGAGUUUGAGGCCACCACAGAUUACAUAGUGUGUUCCAGUCCAGCCUAGAGGUACGGUAUGAGAAACCAGGGCCAGCGAGAUGGCUCAAUGGGUAAAAGUGCUUGUCAUCAAGCCAAAGGGUAUGAGUUUGACCCCCCCAGAACCUACAUGGUGGAGGUGAGAAUUAAGUCCUGCAAGUUGCCUUUUGAUCUCCAUAUGUGUCCUGUGGUGGUUUGAAUGAGAAUGUCCCCUAUAGGCUCCCUAUAUUUGGACAUUUUGUCCCCUGGUGGUGGUG